rnacentral:rRNA from 1 species
AUUGAACGCUGGCGGCAGGCCUAACACAUGCCAGUCGAGCGGAUGAAGGGAGCUUGCUCCUGGAUUCAGCGGCGGACGGGUGAGUAAUGCCUAGGAAUCUGCCUGGUAGUGGGGGAUAACGUCCGGAAACGGGCGCUAAUACCGCAUACGUCCUGAGGGAGAAAGUGGGGGAUCUUCGGACCUCACGCUAUCAGAUGAGCCUAGGUCGGAUUAGCUAGUUGGUGGGAUAAAGGCCUACCAAGGCGACGAUCCGUAACUGGUCUGAGAGGAUGAUCAGUCACACUGGAACUGAGACACGGUCCAGACUCCUACGGGAGGCAGCAGUGGGGAAUAUUGGACAAUGGGCGAAAGCCUGAUCCAGCCAUGCCGCGUGUGUGAAGAAGGUCUUCGGAUUGUAAAGCACUUUAAGUUGGGAGGAAGGGCAAUAAGUUAAUACCUUGCUGUUUUGACGUUACCAACAGAAUAAGCACCGGCUAACUUCGUG